rnacentral:rRNA from 1 species
GUGGGGAAUUUUGGACAAUGGGCGCAAGCCUGAUCCAGCAAUGCCGCGUGCAGGAAGAAGGCCUUCGGGUUGAAAACUGCUUUUGUACGGAACGAAACGGUCCGGGUUAAUACCCUGGGCUAAUGACGGUACCGUAAGAAUAAGCACCGGCUAACUACGUGCCAGCAGCCGCGGUAAUACGUAGGGUGCGAGCGUUAAUCGGAAUUACUGGGCGUAAAGCGUGCGCAGGCGGUUUUGUAAGACAGGCGUGAAAUCCCCGGGCUCAACCUGGGAAUUGCGCUUGUGACUGCAAGGCUGGAGUGCGGCAGAGGGGGAUGGAAUUCCGCGUGUAGCAGUGAAAUGCGUAGAUAUGCGGAGGAACACCGAUGGCGAAGGCAAUCCCCUGGGCCUGCACUGACGCUCAUGCACGAAAGCGUAGGGAGCAAACAGGAUUAGAAACCCCUGUAGUCC